rnacentral:rRNA from 1 species
CCUACGGGAGGCAGCAGUGAGGAAUAUUGGUCAAUGGGCGCGAGCCUGAACCAGCCAAGUAGCGUGAAGGAUGACUGCCCUACGGGUUGUAAACUUCUUUUAUCAGGGAAUAAAGUGAGGCACGUGUGCCGGUUUGUGUGUACUUUAUGAAUAAGGAUCGGCUAACUCCGUGCCAGCAGCCGCGGUAAUACGGAGGAUCCGAGCGUUAUCCGGAUUUAUUGGGUUUAAAGGGAGCGUAGAUGGGUUGUUAAGUCAGUUGUGAAAGUUUGCGGCUCAACCGUAAAAUUGCAAUUGAUACUGGCAGUCUUGAGUACAGUUGAGGUAGGCGGAAUGCGUGGUGUAGCGGUGAAAUGCUUAGAUAUCACGAAGAACUCCGAUUGCGAAGGCAGCUUACUAAACUGCCACUGACAUUGAUGCGCGAAAGUGUGGGUAUCAAACAGGAUUAGAUACCCCAGUAGUC